UGGGGAAUAUUGCACAAUGGGCGCAAGCCUGAUGCAGCCAUGCCGCGUGUGUGAAGAAGGCCUUCGGGUUGUAAAGCACUUUCAGCGGGGAGGAAGGCGUUAAGGUUAAUAACCUUGGCGAUUGACGUUACCCGCAGAAGAAGCACCGGCUAACUCCGUGCCAGCAGCCGCGGUAAUACGGAGGGUGCAAGCGUUAAUCGGAAUCACUGGGCGUAAAGCGCACGCAGGCGGUUUGUUAAGUCAGAUGUGAAAUCCCCGGGCUCAACCUGGGAACUGCAUCUGAUACUGGCAAGCUUGAGUCUCGUAGAGGGGGGUAGAAUUCCAGGUGUAGCGGUGAAAUGCGUAGAGAUCUGGAGGAAUACCGGUGGCGAAGGCGGCCCCCUAGACGAAGACUGACGCUCAGGUGCGAAAGCGUGGGGAGCAAACAGG
rnacentral:rRNA from 1 species